rnacentral:rRNA from 1 species
CAGUGAUAAACUGGAGGAAGGUGGGGAUGACGUCAAGUCAUCAUGGCCCUUACGACCAGGGCUACACACGUGCUACAAUGGCGCAUACAAAGAGAAGCGACCUCGCGAGAGCAAGCGGACCUCAUAAAGUGCGUCGUAGUCCGGAUUGGAGUCUGCAACUCGACUCCAUGAAGUCGGAAUCGCUAGUAAUCGUGGAUCAGAAUGCCACGGUGAAUACGUUCCCGGGCCUUGUACACACCGCCCGUCACACCAUGGGAGUGGGUUGCAA